GGAUUGUGGCUCAAUGGCAGAGUGCUCCCCUACCAUGCAUGAGGCACUGGGUUCGAUCCUCAGCACCA
rnacentral:tRNA from 1 species